GUUUGAAGAAACUGAUGGAACAGCUCGUAAAUUGGUUUCAUCACAGUCAAGCUCCAGACCUUGGCAAAGACAUUGCACUGGCACAGAACCGACCACUGAAUCAAGGGGAAGUGUUAGCUUCUUCCUGGAAUCCUGAAUCUUCCUGCUACAGGAUUUAGAGUUAUGACACCAGUUUGACCUGAGGAAGUGAUCUUUGCCUUACCACUCCCACUCCAUAAGAAUAAAGGGACAUCAGAAGUUUCCUUCUGCAAUGACUGCAUAACCUACCCCGUCCCCAUAAAGGGUAUAAACUCAGAUGACCUUAGUUAUUAUUCCCACGGUGAUUUUAGAAAGAGUUUAUGUGUGCAUAUGCAAGUGUGCAUACACACUGGAACAGCAAAGAUAAAACAUGAUACAUUGUUGUUAACCUUCAAGUCUCUUUAUAUUCUUUAGUAAUUGCACAAGAGGGCAAGAGUCACAUGUGAAACUAAUUACAGAAGAUCAUAUUGAGUAGUGUACCCGUUAAAAUGCUGUUGUGAGUUUACAUUAUUCAUGAAAAGAUUGAAUAUGAGAAAAAAUUCUGAUUUUUAUAGGUUAUUUCCAAAAGGAGUCGACUCCAUUUUAAAAAUGCUACUGUUUGAGAGGGUCUCCCUAUUUCAAUGAAAUGACUAUCUGAAAAGUACACAUAUUGUUUUGUUUAUAAAAAAUCUCUGGUGUGAUUUGUUUGGUCUUUUCUAACCACAUCACUUAGCAAAUUGGUUUUUGCCCAAAUGUUUUAUACAUGCUGUAUUAUUUGACCAUCUGUUGUCUUUGACACAUUUUCUGAGUUUUAUUUAUUUUUAAAAAGUUGUUUCUCAGUGAGUUGCUCAUUUUACUACUUAUACAGAUACUCAUGUUGUAUGUGAAAUAAAGACCAUUUGUUGUCUUUUAAAAGAUCAGUGUAUUUCUGUCUGAGAAACAUUCCCAGCUUCUAUAUAAUAUGUGUUUUCAUGUACAGCUGCCAGUCUUGGUUGAUGGACUGCAAUGAAAAUUGGUCAGCACAAGUGACCAGAGAGCUUGGUGGAUGAGGCACAGAGAGGAGAGCGUAAGGUCACAAGUUGGAGAAAGCCAAGUGAGUCAACAUUGCAAGAUGAGAAAAGCAAGUACUGUAAAUUCAGAGGAUGAAGCUGACAUCAGAGUCAAGAGCUAGCGACAUCACGGGCAUAGGCGCAUGGAAAGACUACUGAAGAGUUGUAGCAGAAGUUUGGAGGGGCUGGUACAAUUCAGACAGAAAGAUCAAGGAACAGAAUCAAACAGAGCAAAAAUAUGGAAACGUGAGAGUUUGAGAGUCUAAUAACAGGGGAUGGGUCCGUAACUGUGUCUUAGAAGAAUAUAAUUCCUCAUCUCUGGAAAAAGGAAGGAUGAUGUCUGAGAGUUGGGUAGUACUUCCUAGACUAGAGAAACGCAUACCACUGAGGUGUUUUGGGUAAAUCGUCUCAGUAAGGGGAAGGUUAAGCUCUCCUGGAAUAUUGACUUUUUGACUGGCAUAUGCUGAGUAAUAAUGAUAUAAUACUUGUGGUUGGUAAGGCUUACUUGGGAAUUAUGACAUAAAGUAAGUACUAAAUGACAGUCUUGUUUGGGUAUCAGAUACCAGCUAAAUUGGCCAUGGUCAGGAGUCUCAGCUAUUAAUAUUUGCCCAUCUUCUGAAUAGCAUUAUUGGGUUUUGCUUUUCAAUAAUCUUAAAAUGCAUCUCUGCUGUAAAUAAAGAGGAAAUUAUGAAAUGAUUUUAGACAUUCAAGUUUGAGGCUAGUAUUCUUAUGAAAAUAAGCAAUCCAUUUUCCCAAUACAACCCAUUCUUGCUCAGCAGUCACAGCCCUUGCUGUGACAGAAAACUCCAACUUCUAUGGCAAGAUCAGAGUUGCCAAGCACUUGCUAAGGUCAGUAAUAUGAUUCAUGGAAGCAAAACUGGGAAUUCUUGGAAAGGCUAGCUGCUGGUUUAGGCAGCUGGUCUGAUGACAGACACAGCAGAUAGCUCAGAAAGGCAGACUUUGGAACACUACAUGUGGAUCUUUCCACAAACAUGAAUCUUUCUUGGAAAGUGUAUUCAGUUUAUUAGACAUGGUAGUCUUCUUCCUUAUCAGGGAUAAAUGCUUCCAUUGACCAAUGUCAAAAGACUAAAUCCCACCAUUAGUUUCAGAAAUCUCAAAGAACAGAGCUUUAAAAGAGGUACAAGUGUUUUCUUCUUUUAAGAGAUAUUUGAAACUCUGGCAAGGGUCUUGAACUAUAAUUUGUAUAAAUUGGGAUGCAUUCAUGGAAAAAGAGGCUAUUGUGCAAACUACUGGGAUGCAGGGAUACUCACAUAAAAAUGAGUAAAUUUAGACUUUACUUCUCUUUCUCCUGCUGAUUGAAUUUACU